GCUCAUUCAGUGUUUUGUGUUGAGUCCAAGAGGUUGGGCACAGGAGCAGCCUGCGAUCGCGCCUUGGGGUGUAUCCGGACCAGCAAAAACUUACCUUUUGGAUAACGUACUUUUGGAUGCAGUUGCGCCCAGUCCAUCAAAUGGCAGAUGUCCAGAGGUAAUCCCACCAAUUAAGACCAAUUAUCAGUAAUUAACAUUUGAAUCCUUUCAGAUCCUUCUAAUCUCUUAGAUAUCAGCCAUCGGCGUAGUCAAAAUAAUGCCAGGAAAAUAAUACAUUUCGAUUUCGGUCCAGUCACAUGCCACCACUUCCAUCAGCACCACUUCCAACAAAUCCACUGCACAACACAACAUACAAAACACACACAAAAAACCAUCCUAGGAUGAUCGUUAGGCCAGAACCCAGACGGAGCUAGCUAGCACACUGGCCCACACACCUUUUUGGCCCUCAUCAUGAAACAUUGAAUCGUUGGAAGGUCGCACCACACCCAUCCAUCCAUCCAUCCAUCCAUCCAGCAACACCCCACCAAACGUCGUUUCGGAACUUUGGACAAAAUUCACAUUUGUGUUUAAGUUUAGGUGUAAACAAUAAACAAAAGACAACAAUAGGCUACCGAAAAAAAGUAAAAAAAAAAAUAUCU
rnacentral:lncRNA from 1 species